CCUCGACGUAGUACGGCCCGGUGUGGUCCGGGCCGGCCGCCGUCGGGCCGAUGUAGGGCACGUCCCAGGUCCAGCGCUGCUCGGUGCAGCGGCUGAAGU
rnacentral:tRNA from 1 species